UGUGGGUGGCAGGAGGUGAGGCUGGACCUCUCAUGCCCAGGCCCUGUCUCACACACAGGGGCAGAGCCAAGGGCAGCAUAAAAGGGCCUGUGGCCAGAGGCUCUCCAUCCUCAUCCACUCCUGUCCUGAAGUGCUGAGAGCUGAGCUGCUAGUACCUGGUCCUGAACUCCACUUACCAGCAUGUCCUGCCAGCAGAGCCAGCAGCAGUGCCAGCCCCCUCCCAAGUGCACCCCCAAGUGCCCUCCCAAAUGUCAGACCCCCAAGUGUCCCCCAAAGUGUCCCCCCAAGUGUGCCCCUGUGUCCUCCUGUUGCAGCUCUGGGGGUGGGGGCUGCUGUAGCUCUGGGGGUGGGGGCUGCUGCAGUUCUGGGGGUGGAAGCUGCUGCAGCUCUGGGGGUGGGGGCUGCUGCCUGAGCCACCACAGGCCGCGCAGGUCCCACCGCCACAGGCAGAGCUCUGGCUGCUGCAGCCAUUCCUCAGGGGGCUCCAGCAGCUGUGGAGGGGGCUCCAGCUGCUGUGGAGGGGGCUCCAGCAGCUGUGGAGGGGGGAGCACUCAAUCCUCUGGAGGCUGCUGCUGAAGGCUACUCCUAGCCAAGAAGAGCUGAUUUGUGACAGCAAAUGGCUCCAAGCUUUUGCACCACCUUCUGAUUAUUCCGGGAUUCCCCUGAGUAACUAUUAUAUUUCAGCAAGCAUCAGGUUUCCAAUUUGAGAUCUACGUUAAGACUCUGAAACCUGAGUUCUCUUCAAAGAAAGUUUUCUGCUGACCUUUGAUAUCAGCUGGCAGACUCUGAUAGGAUUCUGAAGUCUCCUUUGACAUUCUCUAUCAUAUCCUCUUAGUGUCAGCUGAUUUAAAUAAAAUAAAGAACCUGUGCAUCA